rnacentral:rRNA from 1 species
UGGGGAAUAUUGGACAAUGGGGGGAACCCUGAUCCAGCCAUGCCGCGUGUGUGAAGAAGGCCUUUUGGUUGUAAAGCACUUUAAGCGAGGAGGAGGCUACCGAGAUUAAUACUCUUGGAUUGUGGACGUUACUCGCAGAAUAAGCACCGGCUAACUCUGUGCCAGCAGCCGCGGUAAUACAGAGGGUGCAAGCGUUAAUCGGAUUUACUGGGCGUAAAGCGCGCGUAGGUGGCCAAUUAAGUCAAAUGUGAAAUCCCCGAGCUUAACUUGGGAAUUGCAUUCGAUACUGGUUGGCUAGAGUAUGGGAGAGGAUGGUAGAAUUCCAGGUGUAGCGGUGAAAUGCGUAGAGAUCUGGAGGAAUACCGAUGGCGAAGGCAGCCAUCUGGCCUAAUACUGACACUGAGGUGCGAAAGCAUGGGGAGCAAACAGG